rnacentral:rRNA from 1 species
AUUGAACGCUGGCGGCAUGCCUUACACAUGCAAGUCGAGCGGUAACGGGCCUUCGGGUGCCGACGAGUGGCGAACGGGUGAGUAAUACAUCGGAACGUGCCCGAUCGUGGGGGAUAACGAGGCGAAAGCUUUGCUAAUACCGCAUACGAUCUACGGAUGAAAGCAGGGGACCGCAAGGCCUUGCGCGGACGGAGCGGCCGAUGGCAGAUUAGGUAGUUGGUGGGAUAAAAGCUUACCAAGCCGACGAUCUGUAGCUGGUCUGAGAGGAUGAUCAGCCACACUGGGACUGAGACACGGCCCAGACUCCUACGGGAGGCAGCAGUGGGGAAUUUUGGACAAUGGGCGCAAGCCUGAUCCAGCCAUGCCGCGUGCAGGAUGAAGGCCUUCGGGUUGUAAACUGCUUUUGUACGGAACGAAAAGCCUUCUUUUAAUACAGGAGGGUCAUGACGGUACCGGAAGAAUAAGCACCGGCUAACUACGUG